rnacentral:rRNA from 1 species
UACGAAGGGGGCUAGCGUUGCUCGGAAUCACUGGGCGUAAAGGGUGCGUAGGCGGGUCUUCAAGUCAGGGGUGAAAUCCUGGAGCUCAACUCCAGAACUGCCUUUGAUACUGAGGAUCUUGAGUUCGGGAGAGGUGAGUGGAACUGCGAGUGUAGAGGUGAAAUUCGUAGAUAUUCGCAAGAACACCGGUGGCGAAGGCGGCCAACUGGACCAGCACUGACGCUGAGGCGCGAAAGCGUGGGGAGCAAACAGG